CCCGGACCGGACCGGCCCGGGAAGAGAAAUACCGGGCGAACCGGCCAACCCGGCCCGGCCCGGACCGGUUAUAACGGUAAAAUUUUUUUUUUAAAAAAAAAAAAAUUUUUUUUAACUGCUGGGGCCCACUUGCCCGUUGGCAACGGUCCAGAACCGUUGGCCAACGGGGGUUUUUGCAUUUUUGGCCCUUUUUUGUUUUUUUUCGUUUUUAUUAAAUUACAUUAAUAACCCUUCU
rnacentral:lncRNA from 1 species